GAUGAACGCUGGCGGCGUGCCUAAUACAUGCAAGUCGAGCGAACAGACGAGGAGCUUGCUCCUCUGACGUUAGCGGCGGACGGGUGAGUAACACGUGGAUAACCUACCUAUAAGACUGGGAUCACUUCGGGAAACCGGAGCUAAUACCGGAUAAUAUAUUGAACCGCAUGGUUCAAUAGUUAAAGACGGUUUUGCUGUCACUUAUAGAUGGAUCCGCGCCGCAUUAGCUAGUUGGUAAGGUAACGGCUUACCAAGGCAACGAUGCGUAGCCGACCUGAGAGGGUGAUCGGCCACACUGGAACUGAGACACGGUCCAGACUCCUACGGGAGGCAGCAGUAGGGAAUCUUCCGCAAUGGGCGAAAGCUUGACGGAGCAACGCCGCGUGAGUGAUGAAGGUCUUCGGAUCGUAAAACUCUGUUAUUAGGGAAGAACAAAUGUGUAAGUAACUAUGCACGUCUUGACGGUACCUAAUCAGAAAGCCACGGCUAACUACGUG
rnacentral:rRNA from 1 species